AUUGAACGCUGGCGGCAUGCCUUACACAUGCAAGUCGAACGGCAGCACGGGAGCUUGCUCCUGGUGGCGAGUGGCGAACGGGUGAGUAAUACAUCGGAACAUACCCAGGAGUGGGGGAUAACGUAGCGAAAGUUACGCUAAUACCGCAUAUUCUGUGAGCAGGAAAGCGGGGGAUCGCAAGACCUCGCGCUCCUGGAGCGGCCGAUGUCGGAUUAGCUAGUUGGUGAGGUAAAAGCUCACCAAGGCGACGAUCCGUAGCAGGUCUGAGAGGAUGAUCUGCCACACUGGGACUGAGACACGGCCCAGACUCCUACGGGAGGCAGCAGUGGGGAAUUUUGGACAAUGGGGGCAACCCUGAUCCAGCCAUGCCGCGUGAGUGAAGAAGGCCUUCGGGUUGUAAAGCUCUUUCGGCGGGGAAGAAAUGGCAACGGCUAAUAUCCGUUGUUGAUGACGGUACCCGCAUAAGAAGCACCGGCUAACUACGUGCCAGCCGCCGCCGUAAAAC
rnacentral:rRNA from 1 species